UCGAGCGGUAACAGGUUAAGCUGACGAGUGGCGAACGGGUGAGUAAUGUAUCGGAACGUGCCCAGUCGUGGGGGAUAACUGCUCGAAAGAGCAGCUAAUACCGCAUACGACCUGAGGGUGAAAGCGGGGGAUCGCAAGACCUCGCGCGAUUGGAGCGGCCGAUAUCAGAUUAGGUAGUUGGUGAGGUAAAGGCUCACCAAGCCGACGAUCUGUAGCUGGUCUGAGAGGACGACCAGCCACACUGGGACUGAGACACGGCCCAGACUCCUACGGGAGGCAGCAGUGGGGAAUUUUGGACAAUGGGCGCAAGCCUGAUCCAGCCAUGCCGCGUGCGGGAAGAAGGCCUUCGGGUUGUAAACCGCUUUUGUCAGGGAAGAAAAGGUUCUGGCUAAUACCUGGGACUCAUGACGGUACCUGAAGAAUAAGCACCGGCUAACUACGUGCCAGCAGCCGCGGUAAUACGUAGGGUGCAAGCGUUAAUCGGAAUUACUGGGCGUAAAGCGUGCGCAGGCGGUUAUGCAAGACAGAGGUGAAAUCCCCGGGCUCAACCUGGGAACUGCCUUUGUGACUGCAUGGCUAGAGUACGGUAGAGGGGGAUGGAAUUCCGCGUGUAGCAGUGAAAUGCGUAGAUAUGCGGAGGAACACCGAUGGCGAAGGCAAUCCCCUGGACCUGUACUGACGCUCAUGCACGA
rnacentral:rRNA from 1 species